UAUUUUAACUAUACAAAGGUAUUGUAAUAAGAUUUUAAUUGAAUGCUAAAAGAAUGGAAGUUUAAGAAAAAACUUUUUUAAAAAUAAAAAUUAAAUUUUUUUUAAUUUGUGCAAAACCAAUUAUUUAUAUUAAAGACAAGAAGACCCUAUGAAUUUAUGAUUAAAUAAACUAAAAAUUUUUAGUUUAUUUAAUCUUGAUUGGGGCAAUCAAAAAAUAUUAAUAACUUUUUUAAAUUUAAAUGAUCUAUUAUUAAUAAUCUAAUGGAAUAAAUA
rnacentral:rRNA from 1 species